GUUUGCACGAUGGAAACCACCCAUCCAACACUAGCGGUUGCAGCGUUGCACGAUGGAAACUGUACCUACUACUAGACGUUCAUAAGGCUUCAACUGGUUACUCAGUCCAACUGUUCAUACAAAAGGGAGAAACGAACUCAACUGCACAGACCCCUCUAUCAAAUCGUGGUUUUUUUUUUUUUUGGCCUUCUUCUUCAUCCACCUUUCAAUUUGGUGCUUUUGGGGAAAGGAUGAAUUAGGAUCAACAAAGUACUACAAUUUGCAGAUUCGUGAAAAGGAUUUGGGACUACAAAAUGGAAGCUCUGAAAAAUUUCGUUCUGAAAUUGGAGCUUUCUCGCCAAUGAUUCGAGCGGAUUUUGGAGUUCGUACGAAAUGGUGAUAAAUCUCUGACGGAAGUGAUGGACAUUACGAAACAAUUGCUGGGAAAGUAGUGGUGUGAACUGUGAAGGAUUUUGGUAAUGGGUUUUGAAAAGGAAACGUUUAUGUCUAAUUUAUUUUCCAUUUCUUUAUACUUGAGGAUUCCUUUAUUAAUUUUUGAAUGUUAGUGGCAAUUCCUCUUAAAGUUGAUGAAAGUAAACUUGGUGGCACAUAAUAACCAGGUAAACUAAACUUGGUGGCAUCUGUUACUCUGUGUUUCAUUCAACUUGGACUUGAGUUUCUUCAUUGAAAGGCAAACCCAGCUUACAUGCUUCCAUAUUAGUUGUGCUACUACUUUGCCUUUUCUGUGCUUAUUUCUUUAGGCAAUUUGGUUUUUACAAUGUGCAGGCGCUCCAAAUUUUAUAUAGCUCUUAUGAAUUUGGGAUAUUUUAGGGAAUUCACAAGCUGACCAACAUUAUUACUUU